AGAGUUUGAUCCUGGCUCAGGACGAACGCUGGCGGCGUGCCUAAUACAUGCAAGUCGAACGCAUUUUCUUUCACCGUAGCUUGCUACACCGAAAGAAAAUGAGUGGCGAACGGGUGAGUAACACGUGGGUAACCUGCCCAUCAGCGGGGGAUAACACUUGGAAACAGGUGCUAAUACCGCAUAAUUCCAUUUACCGCAUGGUAGAUGGAUGAAAGGCGCUUUUGCGUCACUGAUGGAUGGACCCGCGGUGCAUUAGCUAGUUGGUGGGGUAACGGCCUACCAAGGCUGCGAUGCAUAGCCGACCUGAGAGGGUGAUCGGCCACACUGGGACUGAGACACGGCCCAGACUCCUACGGGAGGCAGCAGUAGGGAAUCUUCGGCAAUGGACGCAAGUCUGACCGAGCAACGCCGCGUGAGUGAAGAAGGUUUUCGGAUCGUAAAACUCUGUUGUUAGAGAAGAACAAGGAUGAGAGUGGAAAGUUCAUCCCUUGACGGUAUCUAACCAGAAAG
rnacentral:rRNA from 1 species